rnacentral:rRNA from 1 species
UACGUAGGCAGCAAGCGUUGUUCGGAAUUACUGGGCGUAAAGAGUGUGUAGGCGGUGCUCUAAGUUCGGUGUGAAAUCUCCUGGCUUAACUGGGAGGGUGCGCCGGAAACUGGAGUGCUCGAGCGUGGGAGAGGAAAGCGGAAUUCCUGGUGUAGCGGUGAAAUGCGUAGAUAUCAGGAGGAACACCUGUGGUGUAGACAGCUUUCUGGACCAUAGCUGACGCUGAGACACGAAAGCGUGGGUAGCAAACAGG